rnacentral:rRNA from 1 species
UACGGAGGGUGCAAGCGUUAUCCGGAUUCACUGGGUUUAAAGGGUGCGUAGGUGGGCUGGUAAGUCAGUGGUGAAAUCUCCGGGCUUAACUCGGAAACUGCCAUUGAUACUAUUCGUCUUGAAUAUCCUGGAGGUGAGCGGAAUAUGUCAUGUAGCGGUGAAAUGCUUAGAUAUGACAUAGAACACCUAUUGCGAAGGCAGCUCACUACGGGAUUAUUGACACUGAGGCACGAAAGCGUGGGGAUCAAACAGG